rfam:Brassica napus, WGS project CCCW01000000 data, contig: 5908
AUAAAGAGAGCAUAUUAAGAUAGCCAAGGAGACUUCCUGCCUGAUACAUAAACCUCAAGAUUUAAUCAUCUUUUUAACAAACUGUUUUUAGAAUGUGGCUAGAAAAACCCAGACGAUUGAAUCAUUGAGAUGAAUUAAGCGCAGGCAAGUCAUCCUUGGCUACUAUAUAUCAGACUCUCUUCU